rnacentral:rRNA from 1 species
UAUGAACGCUGGCGGCGUGCUUAACACAUGCAAGUCGAACGAAGCGCUUAAACGGAUUUCUUCAGAAUGAAGUUUUUGCGACUGAGUGGCGGACGGGUGAGUAACGCGUGGGUAACCUGCCUCAUACAGGGGGAUAACAGUUAGAAAUGACUGCUAAUACCGCAUAAGCGCACAGUGCUGCAUGGCACAGUGUGGAAAACUCCGGUGGUAUGAGAUGGACCCGCGUCUGAUUAGCUAGUUGGUGGGGUGACGGCCUACCAAGGCGACGAUGCGUAGCCGACCUGAGAGGUGAUCGGCCACAUUGGGACUGAGACACGGCCCAG